GCUUCUUUCCUCCCGAGUGCUUGCACUCAAUUGGAAAGAGGAGUGGCGGACGGGUGAGUAACACGUGGGUAACCUACCCAUCAGAGGGGGAUAACACUUGGAAACAGGUGCUAAUACCGCAUAACAGUUUAUGCCGCAUGGCAUAAGAGUGAAAGGCGCUUUCGGGUGUCGCUGAUGGAUGGACCCGCGGUGCAUUAGCUAGUUGGUGAGGUAACGGCUCACCAAGGCCACGAUGCAUAGCCGACCUGAGAGGGUGAUCGGCCACACUGGGACUGAGACACGGCCCAGACUCCUACGGGAGGCAGCAGUAGGGAAUCUUCGGCAAUGGACGAAAGUCUGACCGAGCAACGCCGCGUGAGUGAAGAAGGUUUUCGGAUCGUAAAACUCUGUUGUUAGAGAAGAACAAGGACGUUAGUAACUGAACGUCCCCUGACGGUAUCUAACCAGAAAGCCACGGCUAACUACGUGCCAGCAGC
rnacentral:rRNA from 1 species